ACAGAGGGUGCGAGCGUUAAUCGGAUUUACUGGGCGUAAAGGGCGCGUAGGCGGUCGUAUGAGUGUGAUGUGAAAGCCCCGGGCUCAACCUGGGAAGUGCAUCGCAAACGAUACGACUGGAGUAUAUGAGAGGGUGGCGGAAUUUCCGGUGUAGCGGUGAAAUGCGUAGAGAUCGGAAGGAACGUCAAUGGCGAAGGCAGCCACCUGGCAUAAUACUGACGCUGAGGCGCGAAAGCGUGGGGAGCGAACAGG
rnacentral:rRNA from 1 species